UACGUAGGCAGCAAGCGUUGUUCGGAGUUACUGGGCGUAAAGAGCUCGUAGGCGGUUUGUCACGUCGGCUGUGAAAACCCGAGGCUCAACCUCGGGCCUGCAGUCGAUACGGGCAGACUAGAGUGCUGUAGGGGAGACUGGAAUUCCUGGUGUAGCGGUGAAAUGCGCAGAUAUCAGGAGGAACACCGGUGGCGAAGGCGAGUCUCUGGGCAGUAACUGACGCUGAGGAGCGAAAGCGUGGGUAGCGAACAGG
rnacentral:rRNA from 1 species